UGCGGGAUCGUCUAAAGGUAGGACACGGCGCUCUGGACGCUGGUAUCGUGGUUCGAAUCCACGUCCCGCAGCCA
rnacentral:tRNA from 1 species